rnacentral:rRNA from 1 species
UGGGGAAUAUUGCACAAUGGGCGCAAGCCUGAUGCAGCCAUGCCGCGUGUAUGAAGAAGGCCUUCGGGUUGUAAAGUACUUUCAGCGGGGAGGAAGGGAGUAAAGUUAAUACCUUUGCUCAUUGACGUUACCCGCAGAAGAAGCACCGGCUAACUCCGUGCCAGCAGCCGCGGUAAUACGGAGGGUGCAAGCGUUAAUCGGAAUUACUGGGCGUAAAGCGCACGCAGGCGGUUUGUUAAGUCAGAUGUGAAAUCCCCGGGCUCAACCUGGGAACUGCAUCUGAUACUGGCAAGCUUGAGUCUCGUAGAGGGGGGUAGAAUUCCAGGUGUAGCGGUGAAAUGCGUAGAGAUCUGGAGGAAUACCGGUGGCGAAGGCGGCCCCCUGGACGAAGAGUGACGCUCAGGUGCGAAAGCGUGGGGAGCAAACA